UAAGGUUCUGCACUUAGCAUUUGACCAGGUCAAGUCCAUGCAAAUGGAUACUGACUGAAGCAAGGAAGCUCCAAGGCUGGAGCAUCCGAGUCGAAUUCUGAGUGUAGAAUACACGAGCGGCGGACGGCUGAGUAACACGUAGGAACGUACCCCAAAGUGAGGCAUAAGCACCAGAAAUGGUGUCUAAUACCGCAUGUGAUCUUCGGAUUAAAGCUUCGGCGCUUUGGGAGCGGCCUGCGCAUGAUUAGCUUGUUGGUGAGGUAAUGGCUCACCAAGGCAGUGAUCAUUAGCUGGUCUGAGAGGAUGAUCAGCCAGACUGGGACUGAGAACGGCCCAGACUCCUACGGGAGGCAGCAGUAGGGAAUUUUCCACAAUGGGCGAAAGCCUGAUGGAGCAACGCCGCGUGCAGGAUGAAUGCCUUCGGGUUGUAAACUGCUUUUAUCUGUGACGAUAAUGACGGUAGCAGAUGAAUAAGGAUCGGCUAACUCCGUGCCAGCAGCCGCGGUCAUACGGAGGAUCCAAGCGUUAUCCGGAAUUACUGGGCGUAAAGAGUUGCGUAGGUGGCACUGUAAGUUGGUAGUGAAAGCGUUCGGCUCAACCGAAUAUCCAUUACCAAAACUGCAGAGCUAGAGGACGAGAGAGGUAAUUGGAAUUCCUAGUGUAGGGGUAAAAUCCAUUGAUAUUAGGAGGAACACCGAUGGCGUAGGCAGAUUACUGGCUCGUUCCUGACACUCAGGCACGAAAGCGUGGGGAGCAAACAGGAUUAGAUACCCUGGUAGUCCACGCCGUAAACUAUGGAUGCUAGCUGUAUUCGGUAUCGA
rnacentral:rRNA from 1 species